AUCCAAGUGGUAUCGGUGGUUUUGAUUGGUUUACGUCAUGUGUUUUUCCACCAAUCAUAAAGGAGAAUAACCUUUUUUUCCUUCCC